ACUCAUGUCCUUUGUUCAUCCUAGUUAAUGUAGUAGUAGUACUACUAUACUACAACUAGUCCACUUCCUUUCUCUCUCUCUCUCUCUUUCUUCUUCACUUCAAUCUUGUUUCUUCCCAAAAAACAACUCUCAAAAUGGAGCAUCCAUUUUUUAUGAACAGCACCGGAAACACCUCACGUGCAGAAGCUAUGCGGUGGUUAUCAAUAGCUGAAAAGCUAUUAACUAACCGUGACCUAGUCGGGUCAAAAUCAUUUGCGACCCGUGCCCGUGAAUCUGACCCGACCCUUUUACCAGCUGAACAAAUUAUUGCUAUUGUUGAUACCCUAAUUGCUGGUGAUAAACGGAUCAAUAAUCAACAUCUUGAUUACUACUCUAUCCUUCAAAUCCCUUUAAACCAAACCCAUGAUUCUGAGCUUAUUGCUAAUCAGUACAGGCGUUUAGCUUUGUUGUUAAACCCUCAGAAGAAUAAUUUCCCUUUCUCUGAGCAUGCUUUUCAUCUUGUUGUUGAUGCUUGGUCUGUACUUUCAAAUGCUUUUAGGAGAAGUGUUUAUGAUAAAGAAAUUGGGUUUUUUCUUAACCUUAACCCGGUUGUUGUUGUAUCUUCUCCAAGUAGUAAUAGUAACCCUAUUGGUUUCAUGCAACAAAGUUCUAUGAUUUUUCAGAGUCAUCAACAACAACAACAACAACCACCACAAGUGAGUUCUGUACCAAGUUCAAGUUCAAGAGAGAGGCAAACAGUAACUUUUCUUCAAGAACCACAACCACAACCCCAACAGCCAAUUACUUCAUUUCUUGGAAGAAACCAAACACAGCCAGUAAGUUCUACUAUGUUAAGUCCAAACAGGGAACAACAAAACCCGUUUACUUUCGGGUCAAGUACCACUAGAGGGCAACAAGUAGCGUUUGCAGAGUCAACAAGAGGUCAACAGGUAGCUUUUGUAGAGUCGAGAAGAGAUCAACAACAAGUAGCUUCUGUAGAGCAGCAAGGUAAUAAGCAAAGAAAUGAGGGGUUGUUUGGGAAUAGUCAAAUUUACACUGUUAGUGCUAGUAAAGGUGUGAACAACAAUGAGGGGUUGUUUGGGAACAAUCAAGAUCACUCUGUUAAUAGUGGUAAAAAUGUCAACUUUGGGAACAAUCAGAAUUACUCUUCUAGUGCUAGUAAAAUUGUGAACAGUGAGGGUUUGUUUGGGAACACUCAAAAUCAGUCUGUUAGUGCUGGUAAAAAUGUGAGUAAUGAGGUUUUGUUUGGUAACAAUCAGAAUCAGUCUGCUAGUACCGGUAGAAAUGUGAGCAAUGAGGGUUUGUUUGGUAACAAUCAGAAUCAGUCGGCUAGUACCGGUAGAAAUGUGAGCAAUGAGGGUUUGUUUGGGAACCAAAAUCAGUCCGCUAGUGCUAGUAAAAUUGUGAGCACUGAGAGUUUGUUUGGGAACCAAAAUCAGUCCGCUAGUGCUAGUAAAAUUGUGAGCACUGAGAGUUUGUUUGGGAACAAUCAAAAUCAGUCUGCUAGUACCGGUAGAAAUGUGAGCAAUGAGGGUUUGUUUGGGAACCAAAAUCAGUCUGCUAGUGCUAGUAAAAUUGUGAGCACUGAGAGUUUGUUUGGGAACAAUCAAAAUCAGUCUGCUAGUACCGGUAGAAAUGUGAGCAAUGAGGGUUUGUUUGGAAAUAAUCAAAAUUACCCUGCUAGUGCUAGUAAAAAUGCGAACAAUGAGGGUUUGUUUGGGAACAACACUCAAAAUCAGCCUGUUAGUGCUAGUAAAAAUGUGAACAAUGAGGGUUUGUUUGGGAACAAUCAGAAUCGUUCUGCUAAUACUAGUAGCAACAAUGUGAACAGUGAGGGUUUGUUUGGGAACAAUCAAAAUCAUCCUGCUAGCACCACUAGAAAUGUGAACAAUGAGUUUUUUGGGAACAAUCAAAAUCACUCUGCUAGUACUGGUAACAAUGUGAACAACGAGGGUUUGUUUGGGAAUAGUCAAAAUCACUCUGUUACUACUAGUCACAACAAUGUGAACAAUGAGGGUUUGCUUGGGAACAAUCAAAAUCAUUCUGCUAGUAUUAGUAACAACAAUGUGAACAGUAUCAGGGGAAAAAAGAGGGGUGCAGAUGCGCCGAGUCAUGCUGUUCCUAGUUUCUGGACUGCAUGUCCUUAUUGUUAUCUGAUGUAUGAGUAUCCUUUAGAAUAUGUGGAUUGUACUUUGAGGUGUCAAAAGUGCAAGAGGGCAUUUCAGGCUGUAAAGAUUGCCUCCCCUCCCCCAAUUAUAGAGGGACAAGAAGCUUAUAUCUGUUGUUGGGGAUUUAUGCCUUUAGGAUUUUCCGUGGAUAUUUUUAAGAAAUACAAAGGUAAUAUUUCGAGCUGGACUCCGUUUGCACCCAUUAAUAAGCAUGGGGGUGCAAGAAAGCCAUCCGCUCCGAGGGUUUAUAUUGAUGAUUAUGAGGAGGAUGUGUUUCUGGGAUUAUCAGAGUCGAGCGAGGAGUCAGAUGAUGAUUGGAAGGGUGAUAAGAAGACGAAGAAGGCAAAGAUUGGGAAACGAAAGAGUAAAAGGCUUAGAGAGAGUAAAAGGCUUAGGAGAAAAAAAGCCAAGAUACAGCAAUCCGACAAGGGAAAGAAUGUUGUAGGGAAUGCUGGUGAUGAUGUGCAAGAUGUUUCAGCGACUCAAGGGGAUGUAGAAAUGCCCAAUGUUGCGACAGCUCAGUCAAGCAAGAGAGGUAUUGCUAGUAACACAAGAAGGCAAGCUGGGAGGGUUGCUAAAGAUGUUGGGAAGUUAGAUUUGAAUGUGGAAUUCAGUAAUGAGGUUGAAGAGCCUCCUGCACCUGGGAUGGGCCAAGGGAAUGGAGCUGGAACAGGGGAGGAUGGAAACAUUGAAGGGAUUGAGUUUUUUGAGGGUCUUGAUGAAUUCCUAAGCAGUCUUCCUAUUCUCAAUGCUGUGGGUGAUGAUAAGGUUAAGGCUGCCUAGCGAACUCGGUAAAACUCCUACGCAUUGAUGGGGGAUUUCUUACUAGGACUAGGCAAAAUUUGGAACAUUUUCAAAAUCUUGCUGAUGCCCAAGCUACAAAGAUCCCUCUGCAAUUCGCAAUGUGGCAAAUCUGGUGCCUCCUCAUGAAGAACCCGUAGCUGUUUCUAAAAAUUGCCUUUGUCCCUAGUUCAUAAUCAUUUUUUUAUAAUCCCAAGGAUAUAUACUUUGCAUUUCAGUACAUAAAUUGUGGUUCCUUUCUUUUGGUGCCGAAUGGUCCACUGGUGGCAAAUGCAGCUCUUCGGUUUGGUGUUAAUUCUCUUAAUGUGACUCUCCUCAAUGAUUGUGUGCAAAGUCAGAAAUGAACUUUGUUUUGGUUUGAUGAGUUCUUACAUUUUGACUAGAUUUUCUCCAGCCCCAGUUUUAGCCGGCAAUGCAAGCUCUGUGAAAAGGAACAAUCGAUUGCUUGUUGGUGAAGUUGCUAAUAUUCCCAUGGAUUAAAAGAGAGGCUGAAAGAUGGCACGUAUGAUUGUGGAACUCUAGAGUGGAUAAUCUAGCUACAAGGAUUAUUAUAUAAACAGUAGCAUUGGGAAAGUGCACGUAUGAUUGUGGAACUCUAGAGUGGAUAAUCUAGUCUCUAUUAAAGACCGGGAACUUUGAAGCUGAAUCUCUGCUGGUACUCUAUUUAUGUUUUUUGCAUCAAUUAUUACUUGUAAUACAAAUAUCGUUGUUCCCUUUGCUGAACCACUAAAUGUGAUAAAACUGUCUAGUGUGAGAUCCGCAGGAUCUGGAUUUAAUAUAUUCUUUCAGCUAUUGACUUUUUUUCUAGUUCCAUUACUUGGAAAAUUGUAUAAACUGUCAAAAGUGUUUUCCUUGCAUUCCACCAUUUUAUGUGGAGUAGCAGAGAAUAAUGUAUUCCUAGUUAAAGCCGUUAUCGUUA